AGAGCAUGAUGUGGACAUCCUUUGAAUAGUCUUUUAUAUCUUUUCCAUGCUUCAUAGAAUGAUUCGCUCUCCUUUUGAAAAAAAGAAGCGAGUUCCUUCCUUAAUUG